GACGAACGCUGGCGGCGUGCUUAACACAUGCAAGUCGAACGGAAAGGCCUGCUUUCCCUUGUGGAUUGCGGGUGCUCGAGUGGCGAACGGGUGAGUAACACGUGAGUGAUCUGCCCCCAACUUGGGUAUAAGCCUGGGAAACUGGGUCUAAUUCCCGAUAGGACUGCAGGGUGGUGCCUGUGGUGGAAAACGAUUUUCUAGUGGUUGGGGAUGAGCUCGCGGCCUAUCAGCUUGUUGGUGGGGUAAUGGCCUACCAAGGCGGCGACGGGUAGCCGGCCUGAGAGGGUGGACGGGCACAUUGGGACUGAGAUACGGCCCAGACUCCUACGGGAGGCAGCAGUGGGGAAUAUUGCACAAUGGGCGGAAGCCUGAUGCAGCGACGCCGCGUGGGGGAUGACGGCCUUCGGGUUGUAAACUCCUUUCGACCGCGAGGAAGCCGCCUGGUUGGAAGGGUGGUGACGGUAGUGGUAGAAGAAGCACCGGCUAACUACGUG
rnacentral:rRNA from 1 species